ensembl:lncRNA
AACACCGAUUUCUGUCCCUGUGGUGACAUUAAACAAAGGUUUUCAUGGGCAGCCUCAAGAGGAAAAAAUUAAUCAUAUCCCAGGAAGAGAAAGAGGAAAGCGCUCUCUCACUAUCUCACCUUCACCUUAAUGCCAUAAAAGUUUGUUGAGCCUGCAGUUUGCAGCAUAAGCAGCGUGCGAUUCUCGCUGAGACGCCGGCUGUGAUGUGCAGACACCAGCUUUUCAUGCUGCAUCCUCGACAAUCACACCCUCGUGGAUAAUUAGCAGUCUGCGCCAUAGGGAGUACAGUAAAGGCAGCUAAAACAGCCUGCGGCUUCUUUCACCGGGAUUAAGAGACGAGCGCAUGCAAACAGACACACGCCUGAAUCAACGCGCGCAUUCACACAUAAGCAAACACAGACAUGUGCCCUCCUACAGGCCAUGUUAUUUCCCAGAGAUCUGUUUAACAGCCUUCUAAUUGAUGGGAAUGUGAGUCAAAGCUGUUUUUUUGUUGUUUUACCUGCUGAGGGAUGCUGCAGGAUAAUGUGGCGCUGCAGACUAGAAAUACAAGUUCUUUUUAUGCGAGUGUGGUUCUUUAUUUUGUUUUCUCCCACAUUUACUUGAGGUUUUGGCGGUAAUCUCCAGCUCUUUUUCCCACUUUUUCUAAACAUUAAUCUCCUAUUUUUUUUUUUUUUUUUUGCCUUUUGUGUUCUUUUACCCUCCAUCCUUCCCUCCCUUUCUUCUCCAGCCUGAUCCGUUUGUGGUUUGAGAUGCAGAAAUUUAGCAGCAGCCCCUCACCCCAACACUCUGAAACCCACCACAUCGCUCAUGUUUUUUUAGUUCAGCCUAGUUUUAUUUGAAUUCCAGCACACGUUUCAUGCCUUGCAGAGUGUUUUAAAGUUAAGCUAUUAUAUUUUUUUUUAAAAAGACAAUAGAUAAGGUACCUAACUCCCUUUGAUUUUGUUUGUUUCAUAGUUAUUUAAACCCAUUUUGUCAUUGGUUUUCAGUGAACACCGACUCUUAUUUCUAUUGCUGAUUUAAUGAAGCUUGUAUAUUUUAAAGUAUUUUAUUACCAGACAUACCAGAGCUCUCUCCACUGCUCGUUGCAUGAAAUAUUGCUUCAGGCAGCUCUAGCAAUUCCUCAAGUUAGUAGAAAUUCUAUGCUACUACUUAUUAAUGCAAGCAGUCCGAUGUCAGACAUUAGCUACAGGGUUUUAUUACUGAAAAUAAACCUUUCAUACACAUCUCGUCGCAAAGAAAAAGACCCAAGCAGCAGUUGUACCCACAAUUCAUAAGGCUCUUUGUCGCUUGUUAGCGGCCAUAAAUCAGUCCCUUUUAGAUUGUGCAGCAGCCGCUGAC